GCCUCAGCCUCCCGAGUAGCUGGGGCUACAGGCACCUGCCACCAAACCCGGCUAAUUUUUUUGUAUUUUUAGUAGAGACGGGGUUUCACCGUGUUAGCCAGGAUCGUCUUGAUCUCCUGACCUUGUGAUCCACCCGCCUCGGCCUCCCAAAUUGCUGGGAUUACAGAUGUGAGCCACCGCACCUGGUCCAAGAACCCAAGUUUUAGAUCUAGAGUGAUGUCAGCAUGACAUUGAUUUCCUGAGGCCCAGGGUCGAAGGAGCUGAGGACAGCAGAGGGGUGAAGGAACUCAGCUACAGACAGCAGCAGCUGAUGCACAGGGCUCCCAGCGCCUGAAGUCACCCGGAAUUGGGAAGUGCUCAGAAGCUUACAAAGCUGCCUCGAGGUGGGAACAUGACAUAAAUCCAAGAGCAGAUCCCUGAUCCUAUAAAAAUGUACUAGAUGCAGUGGGGGCAUUUUAAAUGAGCAGAGAAGGACAGACAGAUAAACAGAAGGACAAACAGUAUUGGGAUUGGGAUAAAUGCUCAGCUUUUGCCCAAAUCUUAGUGACUUAAGCAUCACUUAUUUGCUCACGAUUCUGUGGCUGGACCAUUUGGUUUGGCUCACAGGGCAGGGACUGUGCUGGUCUUACCUGAGCAGACCUGCAUGUCUGCGGUCAACUGGGUUGGCAGAGACAGAGUGACUGUCUUCCUCCAGGAAGCAGCAGGUUAACUGGUUGGCAGAGACAGAGGGACAGAGGGACUGUCUUCCUCCAGGAAGCAGCAGGUUAACUGGUUGGCAGAGACAGAGGGACAGAGGGGCUGUCUUCCUCCAGGAAGCAGCAGGUUGGCUCUGUUUCCUUCGUGGGGCAGCUGGUCUCCAGGGCAGCAAGAGAGACCAAGCCCCAGUGCACAUUCUACAGCCUCUGUGCACAUCAGACUUGUUAAUAUCCCAUUGGCCAGUGUAAGUCACAUGGCCAAGCCCAGAUUAAGGAGUGGAAAGAUGGAGGCUAUCUCCUCCUGGGAGAGGAGGCCAAGGAGGUGGGAGUAUUAUGUGGCCACUUAUGUUUGCAAUCUACCAUACUUAGCACUUUGAGAAAAGAAUUAACUGAGAAACUUGCUUCAAAUAGGGCAUUCAGUAAAAUGAAGCCCCAAUUGAAGUAAAAUGCAUAUAUAAAAAAUGAAACUGUGACCGAUUUUAAGGACAGUAUUGGCAAAUAUUUCUGUGCUCUUGGAGGAGAAGACCCUUAUUGGCAUGACAUGUCAGAAACCACAAUGAAAGAAUUAUUUUAACUUGCAUUCAUAAAAAUUAAAAUUAUUCAUUAAAAACAUCGUGAAUGAAAUU
rnacentral:lncRNA from 1 species